UCCGCCUCCUGAUAAAAAAAAAAUCGUGUUGUGCUCCGCUCGGGUGUCGCCCAGUCACUGCUCCGCGUCUGAGUUGUCGCCGUGGCCUCCCCCCCACAGUCACACCGUUGUGCCGUCCCUUCUAGCGCAAGGUAGGAACGAGGGAGCAGGCGGUGGCGGCGACGGAGCAGCGCAGGCCCGCGCGUAGGAAGAGGUAGCCGAGCGCAGUCCUACGCGCUCCGCCGGCGCUCGCGCACAGGCAGCAACGACGGUGGCACCGCGGAGUCCCAUAAGGUGUUGCAGCUCCCCAGCUCCUCUCCGACCGAGCGUCGUGGCUCCUCCCUAUCUCCUCUCCGACGAGCACGCCCCGUCCUCGGCCAAGGCGGACAAGCAGGUGGUGCAGACUGCUGAUGCUAUGGCCCUAUGCACGACAGCAUGCCUGGCGUGGCCUUUGGUCGAGCUCCGCGCCGCCCGCGGAGCUCGCUUCCGACCUCCCCAGCGGCUGCGAGGUCGGCCGUGGAGCUUGCUCCUGAUGGCUGCGGAGCUCCUCCCCGCCCUCUCUCUCGUGAGAGAGGAGCCGGAGUCUAUGGAGGAGUGGUGGCGGGAGGCAGGAGAUGAGUACUACGAGCUGGCUCCCCUCCAGCAGCGAGCGCUUCGCACCCAACAAGCUCAGGGAAGGAGGGUCAGCUUCGUCGAGCGCGGGCGUGGAUGAGCGCCCCAAGGAGGACGGAAACAGGGGCAGCUGGUGGCGCCUACGGGGCGCCCGCGGGCGCACCGCGAGGGAAAAAGGAGCAGAACUGGCUGAAGUGACUGUCCAUACUCUCGUAGUCUCCUAGAAUGCAUGCUCGCUCAUCCACCGGUCGCCCGGUCCUCACAGGCAGUAAGUGCAACUGAAGAAGGGACUGUCCAUUGUUGAUCACUCCAUGUGAGUUUUGCGGCAGGUACGGUCGCAAGAGAGCAUUCUCCUUGAUCCUAUUCCUUUCACAACUGGAACGGUUGUAAAAUAACUGGUCUCGGAGUUCACAAGGGUCCGGUUGCUUGUGGCUUCUUACCAGUGGCGUAGCUCGCCCAACAUUUUAGGUGGGGCAGAGGAAACUGAAAAAACAGAGCCAACACUCAAACUUGCUCUUGUUCUUGCUCCCCGUCAAUAGCUGCUACCGGAGCUGGCGUUGCCGCUCCACGUCCUUGGCCGUGCCAAGCCCAACUGCCCAAGCAGGAGCAUCAUGCUGCCGCCGGCGCCCCCUUUGAGCCUUGCUCUUCCACCUCCUCCUCCAUGAAUUGAACGCAGGUUCGUCGCUCAGCCAAGAUCGGCGAACGGCGCCGCGGUUGGCAGCCGGAGCAGCCGCGCAGCCGCAUGCCACGGCUGCGGCUAGGGUUUGGCGGCGUCGCCCGUCGGGGUCGGCCUGACGGGAGGCUGGGGUGGCGUUCGAUUCGACUGGAGUCUGAAGCAGCGAGCGGUGGGUCAAAAACGAAUAAUGGAUUUGAUGCUGCGGUGUGCCAAAAAUUGAUUGGGCCAUCUAUUUGGACCCGAGAACGCACCCACUUGCAGCCCAAAACGAACUCAUCUUCCUCCUGCAGUCCUCCAGCCAUGAGACUGGUCUAUUC